UACGGAGGGUGCGAGCGUUGUCCGGAAUCAUUGGGCGUAAAGGGCGCGUAGGUGGCCCGGUCAGUCGAUGGUGAAAGCGCGGGGCUCAACUCCGCGUCGGCCGUCGAUACUGCUGGGCUUGAGCACUGUAGAGGCAGGCGGAAUUCCGGGUGUAGCGGUGGAAUGCGUAGAGAUCCGGAAGAACACCGGUGGCGAAGGCGGGUCUCUGGGACGGUACUGACGCUGAGACGCGAAAGCGUGGGGAGCGAACAGG
rnacentral:rRNA from 1 species